CCUUCGGGACUGAUUAUUUUGUGGCUGAGUGGCGGACGGGUGAGUAACGCGUGGGUAACCUGCCUUGUACAGGGGGAUAACAGUUGGAAACGGCUGCUAAUACCGCAUAAGCGCACGGCAUCGCAUGAUGCAGUGUGAAAAACUCCGGUGGUAUAAGAUGGACCCGCGUUGGAUUAGCUAGUUGGUGAGGUAACGGCCCACCAAGGCGACGAUCCAUAGCCGACCUGAGAGGGUGACCGGCCACAUUGGGACUGAGACACGGCCCAAACUCCUACGGGAGGCAGCAGUGGGGAAUAUUGCACAAUGGGCGAAAGCCUGAUGCAGCGACGCCGCGUGAGCGAAGAAGUAUUUCGGUAUGUAAAGCUCUAUCAGCAGGGAAGAUAAUGACGGUACCUGACUAAGAAGCACCGGCUAAAUACGUGCCAGCAGCCGCGGUAAUACGUAUGGUGCAAGCGUUAUCCGGAUUUACUGGGUGUAAAGGGAGCGCAGGCGGUGCGGCAAGUCUGAUGUGAAAGCCCGGGGCUCAACCCCGGUACUGCAUUGGAAACUGUCGUACUAGAGUGUCGGAGGGGUAAGCGGAAUUCCUAGUGUAGCGGUGAAAUGCGUAGAUAUUAGGAGGAACACCAGUGGCGAAGG
rnacentral:rRNA from 1 species